AUAAUCAUUAGUCUUGUAAUUUAAGACUGGAAUGAAAGAAUGGACUAAAUGGACUCUUUCUUUAAAGUAAUUUAUAAAAUUUUACUUUUUAGUAAAAAGGCUAAAAUGACUCUUUUAGACAAGAAGACCCUGUGAAGUUUUAUAUAUUAAAAUUUUAUAAUUUUAAAUAUAUUUUACUGGGGCGGUAGAUAAUAAAUCAUUAUUUAAGUUUUAAAACUGUAAGUUAGAAUAACCAGAAGUUCUGAAUAAAAAAUAAACUACUCCAGGGAUAACAGCAUAAUUUAUCUUGAAAGUUCUUAUUGACGGUUAAGUUUGUGACCUCGAUGUUGGAUUAAAAGUCCUUUUCUAUGUAUAAG
rnacentral:rRNA from 1 species